rnacentral:lncRNA from 1 species
UUGUCGUUCAUCAUGCACACCUUCAAAAACAAAAACGGUUAUGUUCUCUAAUUGUUUACAACUUUAACACACUCCUCUCAACUUUAUCAACGGCAUAAAGUGGAAGAACUUGCUACUUGAAAAUCACUUGAUGAUCAUAUUAGCAACAUUGUCAUCAACCGAAAAACGAAAAAAAUUAAUCUAGAAAAAUUUAAAAAUUUGAGAUCCUGUGCUGUCGUUCAUCAUGCACACCUUUAAAAAAAACGGUUAUGUUCUCUAAUUGUUUACAAC